UAGGCUGACAGGAAAGGGGCAAGAAGAGGGGGGAAGACACGCGGCAAAUAUCGUCAGGUCCGGGAAUUGAACCUGCGACGGCGGCGUACGUAGAGGACUCAAGGCCGUCAAACAUGCUGCAAACACUGUGUGAAGUCAUAUGAGAAAAAGAAAAGAAAAAAAAAGACAUGCGCUCGCUGUGUGCUCGCUCACGGACCUAAAGAGGGACGGGCAAUGAAAAGAAAGCGGAAAAGGAAGCCAAACAAAGAGGAGGGGAGUUUGGGGACUCGUUUGAUCACAGUUGACUUGUGCAGACCUGGAUGAAUCUGUAGACGGGCGGAGAGGCAGCCGUUACCUGAAAAGAAACAAACUCUGUGACAGACGUACGCAGUCCUUCGUUGAUGUAGGAGAUGAACAUCUUUAUGUGAACAUCUGCAACGACAACGGGGGAACCUAUCAAGGGCAUCGCAACUUGUACACCAGUAUCUCCCAAAUUACACUGUAUCAUUUUGAAGUCACUGGGAAUAAUUGCUGCAUUACUAGUCUGAGGAAAGAAGCUAAAUAUGUGACUGUCGCUUGUGAUAAAGUCAACGGCCAAUUGCUUCCUGUUCACUUUGAAAGCAGUGAAUUCUACGGGUCAUUCCGUACAAGCGACAUGUGAAGUCCAUAAACUAAUCUGUGGUUUGACUUUGGAAACCAGAGUCUUCCAGGUUUGGCAAAAAUGCUGUUUUGCUUUGCUGCAUCUCUCCAUAUCCAGCUUUAGUUCAGCCUUUAAAUGCUUUGAGUUACGUUUAGAUGAGUUUAUUUUGUAAACACAUCAGAGAAAUCACAUGAUCAAUGAAAGACAGUGUGCAAUUUACAGUUUUUACUAUAUCAGCGAUGAGAAACUUUGUUGAUGUAUGACAAAGAGUGAUUUUGUGCUGAGUACUAAAAGCAAUAAUGCUUCCUUCUGUGUUUUUGAGUCCUAAUUUUGAAUUGAGAAGUUGUUUUUUUCGGACCUACGUAAUUAAAGUCUGAAUUAAAUGAAGAUAUUUACAUGGGACAAUAGAAAUGUCACUAGACUUAUCUGCAUCCAGCGCUCUCUAAAUGAUAGAUAAACGAAGCAUGGGCAAUAUUUUAUGUACUUUUGCAUCCCUGAUAAAUAUAUAUGAAGUAACAAUCAUAAAUAAUAGUAAAAUGUUAUAUUUUACAGCCAAAAAAUGUAUCAUUUUCUAUGUGCUGUGAACGACUUUGUUUUUUGUAAAUGAUUGUUUUGCUAAAGAUGUUUCCAAAGCUGUGCAGCAUGUUGCUUUGUUCUUUGCUUUGCUCCAUUAAAGAUCUAAUAAAGUUCAUAAUCCUUAAUUCAUUGUAA